rnacentral:Y_RNA from 14 species
GGCUGGUCCAGACGCAGUGAGUUACCUCAGUUGAUUGUCCACAGUUAAUUAUAGAUUGAACUCCUACUCUGUGCUUUCCCCCUUUCUGCACAUGACUAGAGAC